AAAAUACAAUAGAUUUUUUCGGUCAUUACCCAUAUCAACCAACAAUUCAUUUACAUAGAAAAAUACACUCUAUACAAAAAUAUAAUCUAUUUACAAAAAUAUACUCUACAUACACAUCUUAUCCCAAGAAUACACUUAAAUCCAGUACCUCAUUUAGACCGUAUGGUUCUACUGUGUUGAGUUCAUGUAUCCAAAAGGCCUCUCUCUGUAAAAGUUGUUUAAUUAAAUGACCUCCUCGUGGUUGAGGUUUGAUCCUCUCAAUACUUAUAAACUUAAGGGUAGUGGCUGGUCCAUGACUCUUAUCUCUAUAAUGCCUUGCGAUUGCAUAAUCAAAGUUACCAUUUCUGAUUGCUGCUUUAUGAUUCUCAAUUCUGAGUUUUGCCUAU